CAGAGGGUGCAAACGUUGCUCGGAAUCACUGGGCGUAAAGGGCGUGUAGGCGGGAAGGAAGUCAGAUGUGAAAUCCCCAGGCUCAACCUGGGAACUGCAUUUGAAACUCCCUUUCUUGAGUACCGGAGAGGAAAGUGGAAUUCCUGGUGUAGAGGUGAAAUUCGUAGAUAUCAGGAGGAACACCAGUGGCGAAGGCGGCUUUCUGGACGGUAACUGACGCUGAGACGCGAAAGCGUGGGGAGCAAACAGGAUU
rnacentral:rRNA from 1 species